GUCAUACCUAUAAAUAUAUCCAUUCUUUUCCCCCAUGUAGGUAAUUAGAAACUACUGAGUAGAUUUUCCUGUGCUAUACAGUAGGUUCUCAUUUACACAUGCCUUGAUGUAUCCUGAAUAAUAAAGAAAUUGGUAUUUUGAAAGAGAUUGCUUUAAAAUAAGCUGUAAUAUAUAGCAUUGGUUUCUUUGUUAGGAAUCAAGAAGGCCUAUAUCAGAGACUAGGAUAUAUGAGAAACUAGCUAUUCAUUAUUUUAUACUGUGGAAGAGCAAGUGGAAAUAACUGAAAGGACAGAAUAGGUACCUUUAACUUGGAGUCUUAGGAGAAAUGGAUGAAUGAGAGCACUAGUGUCUGUUGGCUAUUGUUGGCUGCCUUUGGCAAAGUUAUUGCAAAAACAGUCGGAAAAGAACGAGCCAAUAUAUGAGUAGACUUGCAAGAGAAUAAUAGAGUGCAGAAAUUGGGGUGUUGCUAUGUCAGGAGAUGUCAAAUAAUUAAAUAGGAGAUGUUAGAGGACAUUCAAGGGCAAGGUCUAAUGAAACAUCUCAGUUGAGUAAGGUAAUCUAGGCGAAGAUCAGAUGAAGACUGCAGACUUUCUGCACACAGCUCCAGAGCUUCUCAAAGAAAUACCCAUUGACUUGCGAAGGGAUGGGGCAGGCACAGAGCAAGGAAGCAGAGAAGUACAUCAAGGUUGACAAUUCUUCCUGUCCAAGAAUUUAGGGUCCAUGUGCCAGGGUGCUGGCACAUGGACCCUAAAGCAUGAAGAUCAGAAGGCUGCUAACUUUUGAAGGGGUCACAUUGCUAAAGAAACCAUACUCUUGCUUAAGAAGUCCUUUGACUGUUGAGACCUAAAGAAAUCCUUAGGUCUCAAACUUCUGAGGAAGAGGCAAGCUUCAAAGGCUAUUCAACCCUAAAGACGGUGUGGUCUCUAACACCCACAUCGGAGCUGGUAGAGGAAAAUAAUGAACAAAGAGGAGCUUCCCCGCAGAUGGAACCAAGGGUGGGAAAGAACAACGGUCAAGUGCAUUGCACCCUCCCCUCAACCAUCCCAGGAGUAGAAUGAGAGUGGUAGGUCAGCAGAAGAAAAGAGCACACAUGCAUUCAUUCCUGCAGCCUGAACAACUUUCCAUCCUCAAACUGGCUGAUGGCCCUGUCAAGCUGCCGGGUGUAAUGUGUCAAUUUAACAGCCAUAUGCUGCUUUAAAGGCAUUGAAAAAGCCUUUUUUUUUUUUUUUUCACCUCAGAAGUAUCAACUUGGUUUUAAAAAAAAGAUAAUAAGAUCAUUAUGAGCAUUAUAACAAUCCGAAAUAUCUCAUGG
rnacentral:lncRNA from 1 species